GACAGAGGGUGCAAACGUUGUUCGGAAUUACUGGGCGUAAAGGGCUCGUAGGCGGCCAACUAAGUCAGACGUGAAAUCCCCAGGCUCAACCUGGGAACUGCGUCUGAUACUGGAUGGCUUGAAUUCGGGAGAGGGAUGCAGAAUUCCAGGUGUAGCGGUGAAAUGCGUAGAUAUCUGGAGGAAUACCGGUGGCGAAGGCGGCAUCCUGGACCGACAUUGACGCUGAGGAGCGAAAGCUAGGGGAGCAAACGGG
rnacentral:rRNA from 1 species